rnacentral:lncRNA from 1 species
AUUCCCUUGUCAAGUCCCUGAGUGCCGCUGGCUCCCAACUCUUAAGGGCUUAGGGGUGGAGAAUGCUUAGGGGUGGAGGACUCUACCUGGUGAUUCAGAGCCUACAAGAUCCUCCCAGGAAGCCUUCCCUGGAAGCCUCAAACCUGGGAUAGGGGACAUUUCUCUGCCUUCUUAGCACCAUCGUACAUGCUUCAGCCCACCGCAAACUAUAAACCCCGAAGGUGGGCCCUGCUGUCAGGAGCAUCUUUAAAUCUCCAGCAUGAAGAAGUGGAUGCCGCAGCCUAUAACAAUGGAAUGUGGAUGCCAUCAUUGCUGUAAUUUUUGGAUCUGAGCCUGCCUUUUGUGCUAAAAGAAAGACCUGUUACUCUGAAAAUUUCAUAAGUGUGUAUGUUUAACUUUGGAAGAUCCUCCAUGAUCAAUUUUGGUUGAUGAAAUAUGAACAUUCUUUGGCUUGAUUAACUACAAUUCAUUUUGUUUAUAAAUAAAGGUGAGGGGCUGGGGUCA